GCCUAGGUAGUUCAGUGGUUAGAACGCGAAACUGUUAAUUUCGAUGUCGGGAGUUCGAUUCUCUCCCUUGGCG
rnacentral:tRNA from 1 species